CUUCUACCACGACCGACCCCAUAUAAAUUCCGCCCGAUUCCUCCUCUACCGAUUUUCGCCAAAACGGAGUUCUCCCGUGUCCUAGAACGGCUGUUCGAUCUCGCCGGAGUUCAGCCGCUGUUGACCUCCGCCAUCGUCGUUUCCGUCGUCGACAGGGGGGGAGCACCAGGACGCCGCCCACGAGCCCAACCCGAAGAAGAUCGCCGCCGCGCCAUAGCUUGAGCACUGCCGCCAGCAGAGGCCACCCCCGCCGCCGUGGACGCCGUCAAAGUCAUCUCCGUCGUACGCCGCUCCCUCCUGUACUUCAGCCAUCUCCGGGGGGGCACCAUAGCCGUCGCCACCAUCGUCCAGGGCCUCGCCGCCGCCGUCUCGUUCAAGUCUGGCGCUGCCCCAGCCUCUGCUUUCCGAUUGUCCGGAGUGUGAAGCGGAUCAGAAUUGAGCGUUAGAAUACUUCAACACUGUUCAAGGCAAGUUUGCACUUUUGAUUUUGCUCAUCCUAUAUUCUACUAUGCAUGUGUGAUUUUUAUGCUAUGACAUGUGCUUGGUUUGAUUUGUAUGUUCUCUGUUGUCAUAUUCUGAUAUUGAUUGUCUUGUGUGAUUAACUUGCUAUGGUAGACAUGGGUAUGUGUCGAGUGAUGCGUGGAAGUGGUGAGUCUUUAUAGCAGUAGGAUCGGGACUUUUUCUCAGGUGAAUGCAUCAAUGGCUGAGUGCUGUAUUGUCCCUAGAGAAUGCGCCAUGACUGAGUGCACUUGAGUUGUCGGGGCUUUUUCUCACGUGAAUGCGUCACUGGCUGAGCGCUCUAUUAUCCCUAGAGAAUGUGCCAGGACUGAGCGCACUUGAGACAUCUUGAAGGUCUUUAUCAUCUGUGUUGUCGUGGAGGUAGGUGAAGGUAGUUUUACGCGAAACCAACUUGAGUGUUUUGUUUGUCAUACUUUGCUUGUGGAUGUAGGUUUUUUUUUAUCAUUAUGUGUAAUUUGCCAAUAUAUUCAAUGUAUUGACCCUUUGUGGCUGCAACUUAUCAUGUUGCAGGAUUUUCAGAUGAUCAGUGAGAUACAAUAGGGUCGCGAGUCUUGACUCAACAUUUUCGCCAGUGGGCAUUGACGGGACUCAUCAUUUGUUAGGCUACAUUUCCGCUGUUAUUAUUGAAUAAAGCUAGCUAUGUGCUACUCAGUUUGUAAUACUUUGUGAUUUCUGGAUCAUACGUUAUAGUAAAUGAUGCACUUGUUAUUUGA